CACAGCCAUUUGCAUCCAGUGCCUGAGACAGGCGCCUGGGCUAGAGAGAUGAAUCUCUGGUCCAAACCAGACUUAACGCUUUUAGCUAUAUUCAUGAACUUGAGUAAAAGAUGUGAGCUACUCCAAAAGCAAUGCCUCCUAUUUUAUUCUGUUGGCCCACAGUAUCAGAGACAGAUGUUGGUGGGAUGGCAGUAGUGAUGGAAUCUUCCCACCAAUGUCCCAUUAUGUUGUGUUGCCAUGGGACAGGUGGCAGCAGAGGAGCACUCUGACAGAGCGAUGUCUGACUUCUGUAUGGAGCGAAGGGGUGGGACUGAAUUCCUCCUUGCAAACAAAAAAACAAACAACAACAACAACAACAAACCCCAGCACCCACGGAUAUUCAUCAAUGUUUGCUGAAAGUUGAUGGAGACCAACCAGUGGAUUUUCCAUGUAAAAUAUUGGAGGCACUGCUUUUGGAGGGACCUAUGCACAUACAUGCUGGAAGAGAAAGAAGGCAUGCCUACUGCUCUUUUCUGAAUGCUGAUACCAGGUUUACUUCAGUCAUGCUGAGAAGAAAAAAAGAGCAGAGCAGAUGGUCAUGACAGAUGAAGACAGCAGCCAACACUUCCCUUCAAGCAGAAGGACCAUUUAAACCUAAAUGAACUAGUCACUUGAGUGAUGUGGAGUGCUAUCAGGUAGAAGAUCUGGCCUCAUUACAGAAGGAAAACUACAGCAGUCCUUGGCAUAGAGGAAUUGGGUGCUGCAGAGUCCAACUUCCUUGUGCAGUGUGCUAUGACCAAAGAAGAGAGCUCAGAGCUUGUUUUAGGCAGCAUAUGAUCUGCAAGAGCCUGAAAGAGCCAGUGCAGGCAAACUGGGAACCCAGCAUGAGCUGAAAACAGACCACGUCUUCAAACUCUACAGUCUGUUGCCCACUGCAGCUUUACUAUCCUGCAGAUAGGCAGCAAGACCACCUCUUUAAAAACGAGUGGGAUAACAUUUCCUAGCUGCUGCUUGCUGCUGGACCCGGCCCUCUGGAACCACCCAGCAGACAGACAGUUUGUUCCUGUGGCCUUUAUUUCCUAGCAGGGAACAGGCUAUGGGUGACGUCUUUUUUUCCUUGAACUGGCAUUUUUUAAUUCAUUUGUUAUUUUACCUCAGCUACUUCGGUAACAUGGAAGAAGAGUUGCUUCAAUUAACUGCGAAAGAAGUGGAUGUCUCAUAUUUAACUGUCUCACUUGUUCAUGUGCUUUCAAACCUGCAUCUUUUAGUUUCAAUGAAAAAAUCUAAUAUGUUAGAGACUUCUCUACAUGAGAUAAUUUCUUAAUUGAAAAGACCAAUAACUUGAAGUUUGUCACAGAAUACACUCAAGUCUUGCUGGAGUACAUGGAUUUCUCUCACAAGUGCUUCAUGUUACAUCUCAGCUAAAAACUCUUGCAUUCAGCUGAGCACUCAUGCAUUCUUUCAUAUUUAUUGACAUCAUAAACCAUGCACUGCAGCCUGAUCUCUAGAAUUUGUUGACUGAAUCUUUGUCUUUGCUGCUUGUCCAGAUGUAAACAAGAUUGAUUCACACACAAGGAAGGGCAAAGUGUCUUCUAUAAUGCUGUAAUCCCUUGCUGACAAUCAUUUGACUAGGACAGAGAAUUUUGCAUUUAAAAGUAGUUGAGAUUUGCUUUUCUGAAUAAUUACUGUGAUUGCCUGAGGCUCCUUUUUUGAAAUAUCAGAGAGGAGAUAGUUUCAGUAGCUUGAUAAUAAACUGGACAACAACUGGCAUUUUAAUUCUGCUCCCAAUCAAUAAUGACAAAGUCUGACCUUGUGCAGAACUUAUAAGUAGACAUUUGUGA